ACUUGCUCUGUAGACUAGGCUGGCCUUGAACUCAGAGAUCUGACUGCUUCUACCUAGGAUUAAAGGUAUGCACCACCACCACCAGAUGCUCACGGGGCUUUUAAAGAUCCAGAUCAUGGGGCAGGGGAGAGGUAGCUCAGCUGGCAAAGUGUUUGCUGAGAGCAAGCAUGGGGAGCCCUGGGGAGUCUGAUUUCUAAUAUCCAUGUGAGAAAAGCCAGGUGUGUUGGUUGGUGGAUGCUUAUAAAGCGUAGGGAGGUAGAGUUAAGAGGAUCCCUGGGGCUCCUGGCCUAACCAGCGGACCCAGAGAGAGAAGCUAUCACAAAAACACAAGGUGGGUGGUUCCUAAGAAUGACACCCCCCCACACACACAGGUACACACAUGCAUGUGCACCUGCAUGCACUAAUGUGUGCCCUGAUGUCAGUACAUGCACACACACACACACACACUCACACGUUUGAGACAAGGUCUCACAAUGUUGCCUUGGCUGACCUGGAACUUGCUUUGUGGUCUCUAACUCAUGCAGACCAGGUUAGUCCUAACUAAUAGAGCUCUGUCUGUGUCUCCCGAGGUGCAUACCACCACAUCUGCCUGGUGCUCCUUUGAGAUUUUCUUACAGGUGGUCUGGAGGUGAGACUAGGAAUCUGCAUUUUUGAAACAUCUCAUUUCAAAUACAGGGACUGACUCUGGAAGGGAAAACGGGUGCCUUUCCUGUGCGAGGAGUCCACCUGUGCAGCUUUCCCUAGGUGUAAGUUUGGUGACUCCUCUGCCUUUGAUUUCUAGGACUUGAAGAGAAAUGACAAUCCCUUGCUGCUGCAUGUAAUUGGUGAGAAGCACACAGACCUGGAAUUAUAAUUAUGACGUUUUAAAUGCCAAGCUCUUCAGAAGUCUGACUUUGCCCUUGCUGUCACCCUGAACCCAAACCCUGCCUCCCACACCCUGAGCAUGCCCCCGAGUCUCUCGGCCAAGCUUCACCUGGGAAAUCUGAGUGACAGGUGACAUGCAGGCAGCUGGAAGACGCACAGUAAACGGAGCCUACGAUGAGCUCAGAAGAGAA
rnacentral:lncRNA from 1 species